AUGAACGCUGGCGGCGCGCCUAAUACAUGCAAGUCGAGCGAACGGACGAGAAGCUUGCUUCUCUGAUGUUAGCGGCGGACGGGUGAGUAACACGUGGAUAACCUACCUAUAAGACUGGGAUAACUUCGGGAAACCGGAGCUAAUACCGGAUGAUAUUUUGAACCGCAUGGUUCAAAAGUGAAAGACGAUCUUGCUGUCACUUAUAGAUGGAUCCGCGCUGCAUUAGCUAGUUGGUAAGGUAACGGCUUACCAAGGCAACGAUGCAUAGCCGACCUGAGAGGGUGAUCGGCCACACUGGAACUGAGACACGGUCCAGACUCCUACGGGAGGCAGCAGUAGGGAAUCUUCCGCAAUGGGCGAAAGCCUGACGGAGCAACGCCGCGUGAGUGAUGAAGGUCUUCGGAUCGUAAAACUCUGUUAUUAGGGAAGAACAUAUGUGUAAGUAACUGUGCACAUCUUGACGGUACCUAAUCAGAAAGCCACGGCUAACUACGUG
rnacentral:rRNA from 1 species